CUCUUCUUGUAUUAAUAUUUGAAGUAUAACCUGCCCACUGAUUAUUUAAAGGGCCGCGGUAUUUUGACCGUGCAAAGGUAGCAUAAUCAUUAGUCUUUUAAUUGGAGACUGGAAUGAAUGGUUGGACGAGAAAUGAACUGUUUCUUAAAAAAUUAUUGAAUUUAAAAAUUAAGUUAAAAUGCUUAAAUUUUAUUUUGGGACGAGAAGACCCUAUAGAGUUUUAUAUUAUUUAUAAUUUUUUUGUUUGUAAGUAGAAUUUUAUUAUUAUAGAUUUUAUUUUGUUGGGGCGAUAGAAAAGAAUUGUUAAACUCUUUCUUUUAUUUUUAUAUUUAUUUAUAAAUUUUUGAUCCAUAUUUUUAUGAUUAUAAGACUAAAUUACCUUAGGGAUAACAGCGUAA
rnacentral:rRNA from 1 species